AACGCGAAGAACCUUACCAACCCUUGACAUGGCAGGACCGCUGGAGAGAUUCAGCUUUCUCGUAAGAGACCUGCACACAGGUGCUGCAUGGCUGUCGUCAGCUCGUGUCGUGAGAUGUUCGGUUAAGUCCGGCAACGAGCGCAACCCACGUCCCUAGUUGCCAGCAUUCAGUUGGGCACUCUAUGGAAACUGCCGAUGAUAAUCGGAGGAAGGUGUGGAUGACGUCAAGUCCCAUGGCCCUUACGGGUUGGGCUAACACGUGCUACAAUGGUGGUGACAGUGGGUUAAUCCCCAAAAGCCAUCUCAGUUCGGAUUGUCCUCUGCAACUCGAGGGCAUGAAGUGGAAUCGCUAGUAAUCGCG
rnacentral:rRNA from 1 species